rnacentral:rRNA from 1 species
UACGUAGGUGGCAAGCGUUGUCCGGAUUUACUGGGCGUAAAGAGCGCGCAGGCGGUCGUUCAAGUCGCGUGUGAAAGCCCCCGGCUCAACUGGGGAGGUCACGCGAUACUGAUCGACUCGAAGGCAGGAGAGGGUAGUGGAAUUCCCGGUGUAGUGGUGAAAUGCGUAGAUAUCGGGAAGAACACCCGUGGCGAAGGCGGUUCUCUGGGACGGUACUGACGCUGAGACGCGAAAGCGUGGGGAGCAAACAGG